GGAUGUGAGGGAGAUCUGACUGAGACAUCUGUCACCCAUUGAUUGCCAGGGUUGAUUCGGAUGAUCUGGCUGGCUAGGCGGGUGUCCCCUUCCGCCCUCACCGCUCCAUAGGUGUCCCUCCCGAAGCUGCGCGCUCGGUCGAAGAGGACGGCCUUCCCCAAAUAGAGACGGACUGGUCUUCUUUUGAGGGUAUAUGAAUAGCGCUCCCCUGCUAGAACCUCCAAACAAGCUCUCAAAUUAUGCUAUAAAGCAAUAAUAAUCAAAACAACACAACACUAGACUAAGUAUGGAUUGUCAUAACAAUGAAUUUA
rnacentral:snRNA from 1 species